GUGAUUUUGAUCUGUUUUCCAAAUGCACCCAAAGUAUCGCCAGAAGCAGUGAAGAAGGAGGCAGAGUUGGACAAGUACCUGGAAUGCAGAGUAGAAGAAAUCAUAAAGAAGCAGGGGGAAGGCGUCCCCGACUUAGUCCAUGUGAUGCGCACAUUAGCGAGUGAGAACAUCCCCAGCCUCCCACCAGGGGGUGAAUUGGCAAGCAAGAGGAAUGUUAUUGAAGCCGUUUACAAUAGACUGAAUCCUUACAAAAAUGACGACACUGACUCUACAUCAACAGAUGAUAUGUGGUAAAACUGCUCAUCUAGCCAUGGAGUUUACCUUCACCUCCAAAGGAGAGUACAGCUCAACUUUGUUGAAACUUUUAACAUCCAUCCUCAACUUUAAGGAAGGGGAUAUGACAUGGGUGAGAAUGAUUACAUCAGAGAACUUCAGCAGUACAACAGCUAGCCCAGAACUGAUUUUUUUUUUUUUUUUUGUAAAUUUGAGACUUAUGUAAGCGUGAUUUCAAACCAUAAUUCGUGUUGUAAAUCAGACUCCAGCAAUUUUUGUUGUAUGAUUUUGUUUUUUUGUAAAGUGUAAUUGUCCUUGUACAAAAUGCUCAUAUUUAAUUAUGAACUGCUUUAAAUCACUAUCAAAGUUACAAGAAAUGUUUGGCUUAUUGUGUGAUGCAACAGAUAUAUAGCCCUUUCAAGUCAUGUUGUGUUUGGACUUGGGGUUGGAACAGGGAGAGCAGCAGCCAUGUCAGCUACACGCUCAAAUGUGCAGAUGAUUAUGGAAAAUAACCUCAAAAUCUUACAAAGCUGAACAUCCAAGGAGUUAUUGAAAACUAUCUUAAAUGUUCUUGGUAGGGGAGUUGGCAUUGUUGAUAAAGCCAGUCCCUUCAUUUAACUGUCUUUCAGGAUGUUCCUUCGUUGUUUCCAUGAGUAUUGCAGGUAAUAAUACAGUGUAUUCAUAAGAAUCUCAAUCUUGGGGCUAAAUGCCUUGUUUCUUUGCACCUCUUUUCAAGUCCUUACAUUUAAUUACUAAUUGAUAAGCAGCAGCUUCCUACAUAUAGUAGGAAACUGCCACAUUUUUGCUAUCAUGAUUGGCUGGGCCUGCUGCUGUUCCUAGUAAGAUAUUCUGAAUUCCAUUUUAUCAAUAAAGCUUGAUUUAACAAAC
rnacentral:lncRNA from 1 species